CUUUCCUGGGAGCGGAGCUGGGUUUCACCCCGGGGAGCUUUGGCCGCCGGUGCAAAGUCUCUGGGAAAGCGGGGAUGGGGCAGCGGGGAGGGGGGGAGCACGGGGGGGCAGGGGACGGGGACACGACCCAAAGGAAUUGGUGCUGCCCGGGGAGGGGCACAGGAGCCACCUCUACGGAGCCCGACGGCGCGGCCGCUCCGCCGCCGUCCUGCCUGGCCCAAGCUCCGCUAUUAGUUAAUUAUUGAUUGAUUACAAGCGCAAAUUUAUUUCUCUUCCCUCUGCCCCCCCCCACGGCCCUUCCCUCGCCUCCCGGCCGCGGUGCACGGCGCGCUCCGGCCCCCUCGCUCUUGCCCUCUGCAAACACCGGGAGGGAGGCAGGGAGGCGGGUUGUUGGUUUUGGCCUCGACAGCUUCCAGGAAUAUGAAAUAUUGAAGCCCUUCGGUCGAUCCCCUGUACCCUGGCCGCCCUUUUUUUUUUUUUUUUUUUUUAUUUUUUGGCCUUUCAUGUCCUGCCUGGGGGGGUCCCGCGGCGGACGGCGCUCCCCUCCUCUCGCCCCCCGCCGUCGUGCGGGCUCGCAGCACGCCAGGCCUCGCAGAUCAAAGCGGCUCCUCCGUCCUCCGCACGAGGGGAAGAGAAAAAGGAACCCGGCCAGAGGCGAAGCACUGACCUGUCCCGGCAGGGAUUCCAGGUGAAACACGGGGGACACGCGUGGGAGCACAGCCAGCGACGAGGACCCCCCCCAGAAAAAUGCGGCGGUUCACUAUUAUUAUUAUUUUUUUUUCUGGAUAAAAUGGGCUUUGCUUUGCACCCCGAAGGGUUUGCUCCUGGAAAAAGCUGCGUCUCGGGCCAGUAGACACUUUGUUGAGUGAACCUGGUGAUUUUUGCCUUUUUUUUUUUAGCAAUUACGAAGGGGAAAAAUAAAUAUAAAGAAACCCAACUGCAGGAGCAGGACCGCCGUGAGCAGGACGAGCUGCCCCGGAGCGAAACAUGGAGGGAACCGGCGGGGGGCACCCGGGCAGCCCCCCUGGGGGUGGGUUGUGCUGCUCCCAGCCCGGGGCACAGCUCCGGAGCGGCUCCGUGGCUUUAUGUGACUUGAUUUAGCUGUAACUCUCCCUGGACGGAAGGCGUCCAUAAAGUGCUGCCUGUAUUUCAAAUAUUUCCGUAGUUCAAAUAAAUAUCCACGUUUGUAUAUAAAGAUUUUGGGAAGA